rnacentral:rRNA from 1 species
AACGUAGGAGACAAACGUUAUCCGGAGUUACUGGGCGUAAAGGGCGUGUAGGUGGUUUCGUAAGUCUGGCGUGAAAUUUUUCGGCUUAACCGGGAAAGGUCGUCGGAUACUGCGGGACUAGAGUUCGGUAGAGGAGUGUGGAAUUCCUGGUGGAGCGGUGAAAUGCGCAGAGAUCAGGAGGAACACCCGUAGCGAAGGCGGCACUCUGGGCCGAUACUGACACUGAGGAGCGAAAGCGUGGGGAGCGAACAGG